rnacentral:rRNA from 1 species
AGAGUUUGAUCCUGGCUCAGGAUGAACGCUGGCGGCGUGCCUAACACAUGCAAGUCGAACGGAGUGCUUUCGGGCACUGAGUGGCGCACGGGUGAGGAACACGUAGCUGACCUGCCUUCCAGCGGGGGAUAACGUCCCGAAAGGGAUGCUAAGACCGCAUAAGCUCACGGGAAUUAGAAACCUGCGAGAAAAAGCUUCGG